UACGAAGGGUGCAAACGUUGCUCGGAAUUAUUGGGCGUAAAGCGCACGUAGGCGGCUCUGCAAGUCCCAUGUGAAAGCCCACGGCUCAACCGUGGAAGUGCAUGGGAAACUGCAAAGCUUGAGUACUUAAGAGGAUCGCGGAAUUCCCGGUGUAGAGGUGAAAUUCGUAGAUAUCGGGAGGAACACCAGUGGCGAAGGCGGCGAUCUGGGAAGAUACUGACGCUGAGGAGCGAAAGCCAGGGGAGCAAACGGG
rnacentral:rRNA from 1 species